AUCUAAAUGGCGAGUCCCGAAUAAGACGAAACGCACGUCAAACUGGAU
rnacentral:hammerhead_ribozyme from 1 species